GGUAAGCAAUUAAUUAAAUAUGGUUGGUUUACAUAAUGUGUAAUAAUUAUUAAUUAUUAAUUCCUAUGUUUAUUCAUUGUUGAGGUUAUGGUUAUGCAAAUUAAGGAGUAAAGGUUGAUUGUCAAGGAGUAUGUUACGAAUUGAGAGUUGAGUUAAGCAAUACAGAUUAUUGAUUGAGGUUCGAUUAAGGAGCUCAAGUUGCUCAAACGAGAGUUAUUACUGGAGUUGGUUAUUUAUUAUGGAGAUAUCGAGAUGAGAAAUUAUUUAUUAUGGAAAUCCUGUUAUUGAGGUCCCAGGAUUAAUUAAGCCUAAUUCCGCUGCAAGUGAUCAGUUAAGUGCGGUUUAUUACCGCUAAUUAAGGUGCCGAAAAGUCGGGGCGUUACA